UGCCUUUUCCCUUUGCUGAUUUGGCCUUGUAUCAUUUCAGUGCAAGAAACCUUCGCUGUGAGUACCAUGGUAGGUUGAAUCCUGUGCGUCCUCUUAGCAAACCACCACACCUAGGACUCUCGACACAACUCGUAUGGCCUGCUACAUCACGUCUAGCCUCUUCUGAGCCCUUCAGAACCUGCCGUGACGUUACUUCUCCAGAAGCUUCCGCCGGAUUCCAAGGUGGACCCUGUACUUCAGGUAGACCAUCAUCGGCGCAGGAGAGAUGGAAGUGUUAAAGCAUGAACAGGACCACGCUGGCCACACCAAUAAGCAAAGAUUCUCCACUGAGCAAACCGGGCAAAGUCUGACAAAGCCAAACGGAAGCUUCAGAGCAAGGGAGACCGAGAAGGGAAUGAGAACUAACAUUUUUGGGAUAUCUAUCACGUCAUGUGCCAUAUUUACAGAACCCCAUUAACACACUGACCCCAUGAACGCUGUAUUAUCAUCCCCACUUUUACAGAUGCAGGAAUGUCCCCAAAACGAUCAAGUAAUUUGCCUGACAUCUCCUAAAAACCCAUAAGAAAAUCACAAGCGACCUCACGGAAAACCGACCGAAAGACAUGAAGACACAUUCCAUGGCCGGACAACGCGUGUGCCAAUCGGCGUGAGAACUGGCGUUCGGCAUCAUUAGUGGUCAGAGCAAUGCAAAUUAAAACCCCACGGACAUGACCAUUUCAUGCCCAUUCAACUAGGAAAAAUGAAAAAUCAAACAACUCUAAGCGUUGAAAGACGGUGAAUCCACAUUCCGGUGAGAGUUAAAAUGGGUGCAACCAACUUUGGAGAACAAUUGGGAACCAUCUCCUAAUAUUGAACACUCGUCCAGUAGUUCUGCUCCUACCCCAAGAGAGAUUCUUGCACAUGUACAUGAAGAGUUACUCUCAGUAAUGCCAAAACAGCUCUUUCUGCAACAGUAAAAUCCUAAAAAAUACCCACAUGCCCAUCGACAAGAGAGGAUAUGCGUAAAGUAUAUUUUACACAUUAGAAUGUUAGAUAGAACAGAACAAAUGUAGUGCAGCAUAUCACAGCAGAGAUGAAUCUUCUCAAUAAAAAGUCUCAAAGGAGUACACGCAACAUUAGGUCCUUUUAGGAAAAAUAAUUAUCAUCGAAAGUUUCCUUUUCAGAAUACUAAUGAGUGGAAUAAGAUAGCAUAUAAAGGAAGAUAGAGGAACAACAAACAUGAGACUCAGGAUGAGGUCAAUGUAGGUGGAGACAGGAUGAAAUGAGGGAAGACCCAAGUGAUUACCAAAAUCCUAGAUUUUGUUUGGGAGGUGGUCACGUGGGGACUCAAUGCAUUAUUUAAAGUGUCUGACUAAUAACCAAAUAAAUAAAGAAGGAACACUGA